rnacentral:rRNA from 1 species
GACGAACGCUGGCGGCGUGCUUAACACAUGCAAGUCGAACGCUGAAGCUCAGCUUUUGUUGGGUGGAUGAGUGGCGAACGGGUGAGUAGCACGUGAGUAACCUGCCCCCUUCUUUGGGAUAACGCCCGGAAACGGGUGCUAAUACUGGAUAUUCACUGGUCUUCGCAUGGGGGUUGGUGGAAAGGGUUUUUCUGGUGGGGGAUGGGCUCGCGGCCUAUCAGCUUGUUGGUGGGGUGAUGGCCUACCAAGGCUUUGACGGGUAGCCGGCCUGAGAGGGUGACCGGUCACAUUGGGACUGAGAUACGGCCCAGACUCCUACGGGAGGCAGCAGUGGGGAAUAUUGCACAAUGGGCGCAAGCCUGAUGCAGCGACGCCGCGUGAGGGAUGGAGGCCUUCGGGUUGUGAACCUCUUUCGCUCAUGGUCAAGCCGCAACAAUGGUUGUGGUGAGGGUAGUGGGUAAAGAAGCGCCGGCUAACUACGUG